rnacentral:rRNA from 1 species
AACGACGCUGGCGGCGUGGAUAAGACAUGCAAGUCGGACGCUUGUAUUUUGUAGCAAUAUGAGGAUACGGGAGUGGCGAAAGGGUGCGUAACACGUGGGUAAUUUGUCUGAGAGUUCAGGAUAAUUCGCUGAAAGGCGGAGUAAUACUGGAUGUGGAUAUGGUUGGGAACAGCUGAUAUCUAAAGCCGGGGACCGCAAGGCCUGGUGCUCUUAGGUAAGCCCGCGACCUAUCAGCUAGUUGGUGAGGUAAGAGCCCACCAAGGCGGAGACGGGUAGCUGGUCUGAGAGGACGACCAGCCACACUGGAACUGAGACACGGUCCAGACACCUACGGGUGGCAGCAGUCGAGAAUUUUUCUCAAUGGGGGGAAACCCUGAAGGAGCGACGCCGCGUGGGGGAUGAAGGGCUUCGGCUCCGUAAACCCCUGUCAUUUGUGAGCAAGUGUUAUUGUUUAAGAGAUGAUGACAUUGAUAGUAGCAAAAGAGGAAGGGACGGCUAACUCUGUGCCAGCAGCUGC